ensembl:lncRNA
CUUGAACUAGAUAUGGUCUCGUGGGAACAUGUGUCUGGAGAGACUCUGGCCAGAAACAGGAAUGUAAGUUCCCAAGAGGAGCCUGGGACAUAGGGAUGGCACUGGGAAAUCAAAAACAGGCAGUGCAGAUUCCUGAAGAUUUUUCUGAAUGUCUGCAAUGCCGGGUUAGUGGGAAGCUGUGAAACUGAUAUAAGUGUUCUACAUGUGACCCGAAAACUACAACCAACUCACAAGAGCAUCUCCCCACUUCACUUUAGUUUAUUGUGGGAGGCUAUAGAAGUAUUCAUAAGAUGUGUUACUGGGCCGAAAAGAUGGCUCGGUGGCUAAAAGCACACACUGGCUGUUCUUCCAGUGUUAGACCCCCGAAAACUGAAGUAUUCGGGGUCCCAGGCCACGUUCGCGGUCACCCCAAUCACCAGGCGGAUUCGAGAGCUUGCUGCAAACUGCACGAGGCUUUAUUGUAAUUUAACGAGCUAACCCCAUGUUAGCUCGGGUCUUUCACCCACCCGCCAUGGCAGACAGCUAGAAAAGACGGCUCCUUGGGUCUCCCAAAAGAUCUUAUAGGGCAGCGUAAGGGGAGUGUCUAGGGGUACGCACAGGCUUACGCACAGGCUCAUGAUUGGUGUGCCUCCAGGCUUAGAGGACUUGCCCUGUGUUGAUUGGUCAACUGGUUGUUAUGGCUCAUAGGCCCUCCCAGGGUGGUUGCUAUGCUCUCUACGUCAUUGUCGUGCGCUUGUCCGUAAAGCACAAGACAGGCAUCUGACCUCUAAGUGACUAAGGUUCCUUGUCACGAGACAGGCAUCUGACCUCUACGUGACCAAGGCAGGUUUAUGGCAAGCACGUGUUCGGCUGUUAUGGCUGCCAAAAGGAAGCUGGUUCCUUCACCAGAAAGAUUAGAUUCCCAGCUCCCACGCAGUAGCUUACAUCUGUCUGUAGCUCCAGUUCCAGGUGACCUGACAUCUGGCUUCCUCAGCACAAGGCAUUCAUGUAGUGCACAGAUAUGCAUGCAGACAAAGCACAUGUUCACAUAAUAAAAUUAAAUAUGUGUGUACAUGUAUGUGUGAUAAAGACAGGACAGACAUGUGCUUAGGUAGCUCUGACAUAGGGCAUCUCAAAUUAAGAGUUGCAAAUGAGGAAGUAACUCUGUGUAUGUGUGUCUGUGUGUGUCUGUGUGUGUGUGUGUGUGUGUGUGUGUGUGUGUGUGUGUGUGUGUGUGUGUGUGUCUGUGUGUGUGUAGAGGUCAAGGGUAGGGUCUUCCUCAACUGCUCUCUACCUUUUUUUUUUUUUUUUUUUUUUUUUUUAAGAUAGAACCUAUCUCUUCUUGAGCCCAGAACUCACUAAUUGGUUGGUUGGAUUGGAUUGGAUUCAACAAAAUGAAGUCAACAAUGACUUAAAUAAGAAGUGUGUAGGGGGCUGGAGAGAUGGCUCAGAGGUUAAGAGCACUGGCUGCUCUUCCAGAGGACCCCGGUUCAAUUCCCAGCAUCCACAUGGCAGCUCACAACUGUCUAUAACUCCAGUUCCAGGGGGUCUGUCACCUUUGUACCAAUGCACAUAAAAAAUAAUGUUAAAUAUAUUUAAAAAAAUAAAAAGUGUGUGUCUCAUUAAAAGAAAAAACAAAAGAGAAGUAUGCCAAAAAAAGCCAGUCCAAG